rnacentral:rRNA from 1 species
GAUGAACGCUAGCUACAGGCUUAACACAUGCAAGUCGAGGGGCAGCAUGAAAGUUUGCUUGCAAACUUUUGAUGGCGACCGGCGCACGGGUGAGUAACACGUAUGCAACCUGCCCCUGUCAGGGGGACAACCCGCCGAAAGGCGGGCUAAACCCGCGUACAUGCCACCGGGGCAUCCCGGAGGCAGGAAAGGCUUCGGCCGGACAGGGAUGGGCAUGCGGCGCAUUAGGCAGUAGGCGGGGUAACGGCCCACCUAACCGACGAUGCGUAGGGGUUCUGAGAGGAAGGUCCCCCACACUGGUACUGAGACACGGACCAG